rnacentral:rRNA from 1 species
UUGAACCGCAUGGUUGCAUUUAUAAAAAGUGGCUUUUAGCUACCACUUACAGAUGGACCCGCGGCGCAUUAGCUAGUUGGUGAGGUAACGGCUCACCAAGGCGACGAUGCGUAGCCGACCUGAGAGGGUGAUCGGCCACACUGGGACUGAGACACGGCCCAGACUCCUACGGGAGGCAGCAGUAGGGAAUCUUCCGCAAUGGACGAAAGUCUGACGGAGCAACGCCGCGUGAGUGAUGAAGGUUUUCGGAUCGUAAAACUCUGUUGUUAGGGAAGAACAAGUACCGUUCGAAUAGGGCGGUACCUUGACGGUACCUAACCAGAAAGCCACGGCUAACUACGUGCCAGCAGCCGCGGUAAUACGUAGGUGGCAAGCGUUGUCCGGAAUUAUUGGGCGUAAAGCGCGCGCAGGCGGUUUCUUAAGUCUGAUGUGAAAGCCCCCGGCUCAACCGGGGAGGGUCAUUGGAAACUGGGGAACUUGAGUGCAGAAGAGGAGAGUGG